rnacentral:snRNA from 1 species
AUCGCUUCUCGGCCUUUUGGCUAAGAUCAAAGUUUAGUUUCUGCUCUUAUCGAGUUAACCUUCGAUACAGGUUCGAACGAAUCCCGUUAAGGUUAUUUGAUCUUUGUGACCGGAUGGGUUUUGCGGUCUUGCUCGCAACCCAUCAUGGGUCGGCCCAGCAUUGCACUGCUGCUGGGAUCGGCCCACCCCCA